rnacentral:rRNA from 1 species
UACAGAGGGUGCGAACGUUGCUCGGAAUUACUGGGCGUAAAGGGCGCGUAGGCGGCCUUCUAAGUCGAACGUGAAAUCCCCGGGCUCAACCCGGGAACUGCGUCCGAUACUGGAAGGCUUGAAUCCGGGAGAGGGAUGUGGAAUUCCAGGUGUAGCGGUGAAAUGCGUAGAUAUCUGGAGGAACACCGGUGGCGAAGGCGACAUCCUGGACCGGUAUUGACGCUGAGGCGCGAAAGCCAGGGGAGCAAACGGG